GUUCCCCUCCGCAUAAUUGUUAUCUGUGUCAGUCUACUUUCGUUUUAUUAGAAAGGAUGGGCUGACGGCUUUUGUAGUGACAAAUCGUUUGGAAACUACCCUCAUAUGGACUGUAACAAGUUCUACCAAUGUGGUCCAGAUGGCGAGGUUAUUACCCAGUGUCCCGGUAAUCUACACUACGACGUAGUAAAAAACAAUGCAAUUGGCCUUAAGAUGCCGGUGUUCAUUCAGAUCCAGCAUAACUAACCGGCCAACGUCAACAAAAGCUAUUUCUUCAACAUCAUUCAGAAACAUCAGUCCACCUCACACAUCAUCCAGACGUUUGGUAACCUGAAUAGCUCGGAUUUCGUCCACAAGAGAGACGCCGACAAAAUCGACAUCAACAAGAACAAGAGAAACAUCUUCAUCUGAAAGGCCAACGCCAAAUCUUUCUUCUUCAAGAAUCGAAUUACCACCAAGCCUCCGUUCCUCGACCCCAGUAUUGCCAACACGAUCGAUUGCAAUGCGAACCUCUUCUGCUUCUUCAACAUCUUCCUCGAGAAAUAUCCAGCCCUCAUCACCCCAGUCAGGACCAAUGCCUUCAAGCUCAACUGGCUGCUUUGAACCAGGUUCAACUGGCUGCUUUGAACCAGGGACAGUGGAAUUCUUGGUAUGCGUAUCUACGGGUGGCGCCCUCAAAGAAUGUGAACUUCAUAGCAUUGAAACGCUGAUGGACGAAGUACUGGCUAUGUUGUACGAGUAUGAUGAUGGGGAACCAUAGUGUUCUCAUCGCAGCUUUAUCAAGUAAAAGGACUGUAUGAGGACUUAUAAUAUUGGAUAAUGAAUUUUAACAUGUACAUAAUUAAAUAAAACUCUACUUUUUUGUCACAACAAUUGCUAUUUCUGACUGAUUUUACUGACAAGAAAGGCCAAAAGAAAUAACAACAGCAUGCGUAAGUAUUUGGUGAACUAUGAACAUAAAGUAUGCUGUGAGAAUUUUUGACAUUUAGGAAACAAGUUUAGUCUAAAUAUAUGAUCACUUUGGCUUUUCAGUCUUUGAAUCGUAUCAUAUUUAUUAUUUUGCAAGUAUAAAUAUAUUUGGGACAAGAUUGAGGUUGUGUACUCAUAAAGUCGUUUAAACCCCUACUGUUUUUAUGGACCGUUUUAAAGGGGGUAAUCCCAUUAUUUAUUGAUACAGAUAUUUUGGUGCGUGUAUGGUAUUUGUGUAAUGUUUGUACGCUUGUAUAUCUCGGUCGCUGUCUGUUACAUCCUUAAAGUUUGCCCCUUAACUGGGUUUGUAUUUGAG